UCGGAUUGUAGUCUGNAACCCGACUACAUGAAGCUGGAAUCGCUAGUAAUCGCAGGUCAGCAUACUGCGGUGAAUACGUUCCCGGGUCUUGUACACACCGCCCGUCACACCAUGGGAGCCGGAAAUGCCCGAAGCCAGUGACCCAACCUUAGGGAGGGAGCUGUCGAAGGUGGAGCCGGUAACAGGGGUGAAGUCGUAACAAGGUAUC
rnacentral:rRNA from 1 species